CUCCCUGUGGCUCAGUUGGUAGAGCAUGGUGUUUGCAACGCCAGCAUGGUGUGUGCAACGCCAGGGUUGUGGGUUCAGUUCCCACGGGGGGC
rnacentral:tRNA from 1 species